AAAGACACUACAGGUGUGUUGGCUUAAUUGGCAAAUAAGUGUGUAUAACUAAAGCACAGAGGGUGCAGAGCAGGAACUCAUAAAGGAACAAAAGAUUCAGGCACAGAACUUAAGGUGAAUAUAGAGACAUCUUGAAGUGACUCCGCAACAGCCUUCUGAAAAUCAGUCCCUUUUAUGUCAUCUCAAGACUUGGGCGCACACAAACUGCAUAAUGCUCACUCCAUGGUGACCAACCCUUACCACUGGAAGACUCUGAUCUCUCACUGGGUUUUAGUUAACAAUCAAGGGUCUUGUUCUCCCUUGUCUUGCAUCUUGUGCAGUCAUUUACCCGUGCAAAGAAGAUGAAACAGCACUAACAUUCUGAUUUUUCCCUCCCUGCACUCCGCACUGAAGUCAGUUCUUCAGUUUAACAAAAUGUUAGAAUGUUUUUAGGUCUCAGGUGGUCUAUUUGGAGGAAAGUCUGUUUAUGUAACAUUUUAUUUUUACAUUUUUAAGGACUUUUUUUGAAAACAAUGUCUUUAUUUCUAAGUCAGUAGCAGAAACAGAUGAACUCCUCAGAGAAAAGGCUCCUGUUUUUAUGCAAAUAUUUUCCGUAUUUCUCUUGUACAUUUUUAAAAAUAUUGUGAGGAUAUCUAUUAUAAAGAGCAUUGUUUUUCAGUAGACUUUGUUUCAAAGUUUCCCAUGAGGUGUCAGUGGGUCUUUUAAGUUUUAGCUUCUUCAUCUUUAGAACUGGUGUUUUAAAUGUGACAUCAAGCCUGUCUUUCAAAAACCUCUGCCUCCCCCCCC